AUGGCUGUCCUGGUAUUGCUCCUCUGCCUGGUCGCAUUUCCAAGCUGUGUCCUGUCCCAGGGGCAGCUGAAGGAGUCAGGUCCUGACCUGGUGCAGCCCUCACAGACCUUGUCCCUCACAUGCAUUGUCUCUGGGUUCUCAUUAACCCCCGAUGGUGUACACUGGGUUCGCCAGCCCCCAGGAAAGGUUCUGGAGUGGAUGGGAGUAAUGUGGUAUGAUGGGAAAACAGAUUAUAAUCCAGCUCUCAAAUCCAGGCUGAGCAUCACCAGGGACACCUCCAAGAACCAGGUUUUCUUAAAAAUGAACAAUAUGCCAACUGAAGACACAGCUACCUACUACUGUGCCAGAAACACAAUCAAGGAAGUCUAG